AUCUCCAUCAAUGGUCAGCAGAACCAAGACCAACGGUCAGCCCAGGUCGAGGCCAUGUCAAGUCAAGGUCAACCAACCAAUGGUCAAGAUCAAGCCAUGGUUGAGACCAAUCCUGAGACCAAACUCAAGUCAAGACCAAGCCAUGGCCGAGACCAACCCAAAAACCAAGACAAACUCAAGACCAAUCCAAGGUCAAAACAAACUCAAAGUCAAGACCAACCCAUGGUCAAGACCAACCCAUGGCCAAGACCAACCCAAAGUCAAGACCAACUCAUGGUCAAGAUCAACCAACCCAAAGUCGAGACCGACCCAAGGUCAAGACCAACCCAAAGUCAAAACCGACUCAAGGUCAAGACCAACCAAUGGCCAAGACCAACCCAAGGUCAACCCAAAGUCAAGACCAACCCAUGGCCAAAGUCAAGGCCUACUCAUGUCAAGAUCAAGCAAGUCAACGUCAAGACCAACCCAAGGUCAAGACCAUCCAAUGACCAAAGUCAAGACCAAUCCAUGACCAAGACCAACCCAAGGUCAACUCAAAGUCAAGACCAACCCAUGGCCAAAGUCAAGGCCAACUCAUGUCAAGAUCAAGCAACUCAACAUCAAGACCAACCCAAAGUCAAAACCAACCCAAGGUCAACCCAAGGUCAAGACCAACCCAUGGCCAAAGCCAAAACCAACCCAAGGUCAAGAAGAACCAACCAAUGGCCAAGACCAACCCAUGGUCAAGGCCACGCCCACCCAACGUCAAACGAGGUCACCCAAAGGUCAACCCAAAACCCACCAAAGGUCACCAAGGUCACUCAAA
rnacentral:lncRNA from 1 species